AAAUAAAACUGCCCUUGUUCUUUUUGGACUUUUUGAAAUGUGGGAAUGGUUUAAUGGUGGAAAGUUCUAACCAAGAUUUUUUUUUAAAAAGGUCAGAAGAGUGAUGUAUUACUUGACCUAACCCAAGUAGGGAAUGCUAUUUCUGAAACAUUUCCAGCAUUUGACCUCUUCUUUCCACUCACACAGCCAUCAUGCUAGUUCAAGCUUUGCAGAAUACUCUUCAUUUUUCUCUCUGCUUUGAGACUCUGCCUUCCUCACUCCUCCUUCCUUAAAGUUAUAUCCUGAAACACAGGAUACUAAUUAAACUGUGGAUCCCUGUGACCUCCAGAGUCAAAUACAAACUUCUGUAUGGCCUUUAAAGCCCCUCACCACAAUGAAGUCUCUGAUCUUGCCCUUCCAGCAUUAUAUACUCCCUUUCAUAUACUCUGGGGUCCAAUCAAACUGACCUUGCACAGACUGUUGUCUCCUGCCUGAAGUACUCUUCCACCUCAUCUCUGCCUUUGAGAAUCCCUUGCUUCUUUCAAAGCACAGUUCAAGAUCAUCUUGUCCAUAAGACUUUGUUGGAUCUUCUUAGUGCCUCCCCAACUUCCUGGGAGCUUAUAUUCAUUUACUUUGUGUAUUUCUGGUACGUCUGUAUGUCCCCUUUGUUUCCUGUGUUAGAAUGUAAGCACUUUGUGGACACAGGGUUGCCAUUUUGUGUAAUAUUCUCUCUAAAAUGUAAUAUUCUCUUGUUGGGGUUUGUUGGAGUCUGUGGAGGCAGCCUUCCUUUCAGUUCAGUAAUCACAAGUGCAGUCAGGGAUUAAGGUCCAAAUCCUUUAAUGUCUCUUCCCAAGUCUUGUCUCCUUUCCUGCAGCCUGGUUAGCUUUCUAAUAGUCCAGAUCCUUUAUUAUCUCCUUCCUGGGGCUGGGCAGCUUUCUGGAGAGCCUUUCAGUAUGGUUUUGGUUCUGAGAACUUGAGCUCCCACCUGCCUUCUCUGGCUUCUGAAUCUCCCCAACUGAAUCCUGGCUGAGGUUCCUAGCUUAUAUAUGCUCUCUUGUCUUGUCUUUCACUUGGGGCUCAGCUAGUUUUCUUAGAAGCCUUCCAGGUCUUGGUUUCAGUGGAGAAGUGAAGGAGAAGAGCCUACCACCAUUUCUCUGGUCUUCCUUUGUUCUGAUUCUGGCCGAGUUUGUCCGAGCUUAUAUGGUCUCUUAUCAAAAGUGUGAAUCUUGUACAACUAUAGUAAGUACUAAGUACGUGUACUGACUGAACUAAAGAACUGUUAAGCACCAUGCUAAAUAACCAUUGUCUCUAUCAAUUCCACUGACUUUACCACCUUGUUUCAAGUUCUGGCCUAUAACAAUUUUGGUCUUUGUAUCACAGCCCUGGAAUCAUUUCUGACCUAAGUUAUUUACUGUGUCACCUGGACAAGUCAUUAACUUGGUUACCUCAUUUUCCUCAACUGUUAAAUAAGAAUAGUAAUGGCACCUACUUCCCAGAGUUGUUUUGAGGAUCAAAUGAGAUAACAGUAUAAUGAGUGUUUCACGUUUAAUAAGCACUAUAUAAAUAUUUAUUCCCUUUCCUUCCCCUUCUGUUAAAUUUAUUCUGACAAAUCCAAUCCAAUUUACUAGAAUUUAUGAAGGCAGAGAUACCAGAGUAUUUUAAUAAAUUACACUGGGUCUCUAUAAUAAGAUUUGGGGAUCAUCAUGUAAUCCUUCAAAAUAAUUUUAAGAUUAUAGAGCACUAAAACACCCAUUGCCCAGCCACAUCUCCCCUAACCUGUAUUUUAGAAGAUUCAAUUAUAAAACUUUAUAUCUAUUAAAUUUUAUUUUAGGGGUAGUUGGCCUAUCAUUUUAACCCAUAACGAUCAUUUUCAAAUUUGAUCCCAUAAAUCAAAUAAUGCUGUAAUGCCAGUUUUAAAUAAUUCAACUGAAAAACUUAUUGUUUGUCCCAAGGGAGAGAACAUGUGGUCUUUCUUUUAUGUCGCUGCAUUUUGUGGAUAUAAUUAUCUCCAAAUACAUAUGUAGAGUCAGUCUCUCCACAGACAUCGUCUUUCAUCUUUAACUACUAAAACGUCUCCUCCCGUGUGUCUCACUUGUACCUCAAGUUCAACAGUAUCAGAACUAAAACCUGAUGAUGCUGAUGAUGAUAGCAUUUAUCAUCAUGAUACUGAUGAUAGUGUUUAUAUAGCACUUUAAAUUUGUAAGAGUGCAUUAGAGAUAUUUUAUUUGAUCCUACCAGUUUCCCUGAGAAGUGGAUGCUAUUCUGUCCAGUUUACAAAUGAGGAAAAGGAAGCAGAUGGAAGUGAAGUGGCUUUCCAGGGUCCUACAAUUAAUAAAUCUCUGAAGCUGAAUUUGAAUUCAGGCUUUCUUGACUCCAGGUUCAAUAGUCAUUGCACUAUAACAUUUAUAGUUGCCUCAGCUCUCCUGUUCUUCCUCUCAGCUUUUUCCUUUCAUUCCUCUGCUUGAUUUCCAGGAGGUCGUCUGUCAUUUUUCUCCUCCUGUCCAACCAUUUUCUAACAUGUACUAUCAGUUCUCUCUCCAGCUUGUGUCUACCUCUACUAUUACCAAAAGUUGUUCUGCCUAAUUUCAGAACCUGGAUUGCUGUAAUAACAUCUUCCUAAUUCCUGUCUGUACACUUCCAGUUUCUCACCAUUCAUAGUCCCAGAAAAGUUAGGAAAGAUCUUGGAAGCCAUCUAUAGCAACAUACAUUUAAGCUUUUACUGGAAGACAUUUCAUGAGGUUAGCCAUUCAAUUUGAGUCUAUCUGCUAUUGUAUAGUAUAGUAAAAGUGUCAGAUUUUGGAGUCUGAAGAUGUGGAUUCAAAGUUUGCUCCGGUAUACAUCAUUUAAGCUCUUUGAGCUUGUUUUUUCAACUGUAAAAUAGGGAUACUAUUUAGUUUACCUGCCUUAUAAGUUAUGGUAAGAAAAGCACUUUGUAAACAUUAAAAUAUUAUAGUGGUUUCUGUCAUUCUCUAUGUGUUGGUCUGAUCAUACCACUUAUCUUAUUUUAAAAUCAAAAAUCUUCAAUAGUCCCAUAUAGGAUAAAAAGCAAAUAAAUUCCUUUGCUUGCCAUUAAUGACUUGCCACAAAUUGGCUAUUGCUUAUCUUUCCAGGUGUAUAUCAUACUCUUUCACAUACUACAUAUUUUAGUCAAAUUAGGCCCUUCAAGUUUUAUUCCCCCUCAAGUUAACAUUCCUCUCUAUUAUUCUGCCCCCUCCUUAGAAAGUGACCAUCUUCCAUUCCUGGCAUGUGGUCUCUCUUUGGUACCACCAAAUAAAAUCCGGCUUUAAGGAUUCAAUUCCAUUGCUAUGCUACCUCUUCCCUGAAGCCUUUGCUGAUCUUCCCACUUUUUAGUUCAAAAUGGUCUUUCCAUUCUCAGGGACUUUAUAUCUUGUCUUAUCAAAACCCACCUUGUUUUGUCUAAAUAUCAUUUUACUCCACCCUCUGGAAUUUAACCUUGAGGAAUCUCCAAUCAAACCCAUGUCCAAGAGAGAUCAAUUUAUUCAAGUCCUAUGGGCCAUCAGAUUGCCUCCUUAGCUUUCCAGUUUCCUAAGAACAUAGACUGGUAUCAAGACAAUUUUCAAGCUUGGUUUCUAUUCAUUUUAAUUAACAAAUAUUGAUUACAGAAAAACCAGGGUUAGAUUGCUUGGAAAUAAUACUAACUGGUUUGACAUCCCAUCUAGUUAAAAGGCUAUACUGUGGUAGAACUGACAAAAGAACUAGCAAAAUAAAACUCAUAAUCUCUGAAAGUGAGUUUUUCCAAUAUUUCUAAUAUCAUGGAAUAAUUAAGACUGAAAAUUCUGUUCAUUUAUCAUUUUUUAAUCUGUAUCUAGCCAUCUAGUCUGAUUUGCCCCUGAAAAAGAAUCUCUUCUUCACAUCUCCAGUAAAGUGGCCAUCCUGCUUCUACUUAAAGACUUCAAGGGGCAAUAAGGGGAGAGACAAGGCAACCAGGUUUUUUUUUUAUAGUUUUGUUAGGAAUUUCUAAACCACUGUUUGUCACGGCUCAUAAUUUCCUCCUGUAGAGCAAGAAGAAUCAAUAGCAUUCUUCUUCCAGAUGAAAAUUUCCAAAUACCUGAAAGCCGUUGUCAUCUCCCUAAGUCACAAAGAAUUAUAUUUGCGUGACUUUAGGUCUAUAUUUUGAGCAUACAUUUGCCUCUCCAUAACUUCCACCAUUUAGUCCUAAUAGAAGAACUAAGAGCCGCGGGAGAUAAGAGCUAGCUUUUCUAAAGCUCUUCCAGGUUUACUCUGCCCUUUUCAUGUUAUCUCAUGUUAAUCAUAAUAGCCCUUAUAGACAAGUCCCAUUAUUCCCAUUUUACAGAUAAGGAAACAUACUGAAAGAGAUCUUGUGGUUUAUUCAUUGUCACAUAAGCAACAAGUAUUUGAGGUAGGAUUCAAAUUCAGGUCUUCUGACUCCAAGUCCAGUGUUUUAUUCUGUGGGCCACCUGACCAAACUGAAAAAAGCUGAAUCCUUUUCCAACAAACAACUUUUUAAAUACUUAAUGCUGUUGAUUAGGAAAUAUAGCAUAGCCUGGUAGAGCAGAAUAGAGCUCUGGACUCAGAUUGAGGAAAAUCUCACUUUGAAUCCCACCUUGGGCUCAUCCUAGCUGUAUUUCAAGCCUCAGUUUCCUUAUAGAAUCAUUAGAGCUGGAAACACCAGAGGCCAUCUGGUCCAAUACAGUCUCAUGGCAGAGAUGAAAAUUGAUUCCCACUGAGUUGGUGACAUAAAAUACCCAUGAUCACAGAGGUGAGAUUGGACCAGAAAUUAACUCCAAAUGCAGUGUUCUUUCCACUAGGGCACAUUGCCCUAUGAAUGGAGAUAAUAUAUGAACAGUGUUGCUUUGUGGUAUAAGGCACUUUGCAAAGUUAUAUCACCCUGUAUAUCAGGUCUUCUCUCUGCAGCCUCAUUUUUGUGCCCCACCACCCCAAUUCCAUGUCAUCUCAUCUCUAAGCUUAAUUGGCCUGGAGUUUAUGACUUACAGAGAAACCACUAGUUUCCUUCAAAUGUCAAAAGGAAAGGAGGGUUCCCAGCAGCAUGUUGGGUAACUAACACUCCCUUUCUCCCCCUGGAUGAGCUAAUGGAUGACAUGGAUUAGCCUACAAGAAUUGUACUGGAAGGACAGGCAGGGAUGAGCUGUGAUCUUUCUUAGAGGAAGCAUCUUCAUCAAUGAGCCCACAGAUUCAUCCUAGUUUGUAUUUUCAUGGGCAAGGAGCAACUCUGAAUCCAGAAAAAGCACAACAAAGUCAAUUGGACAUUGAAGGAUAGGGUGAUAGAUUUUUUUUCAUCUUUCCACUAUGUGCUUUCUUUGGUAACAUCAUUAAACUGUAAUGCCCAAAUCUAAAUACAAUACUCCAGAUGUAAUUAGACUAACACAAAAUACCAUGAGAACUGAUAUCAACUAUUACUGCAGCUUAGUAUUGCAUUAGCUGUUUAGGCAAAUAUAUCAGUAUCCCCUCACUGAGCUUGUAGACAAACCCCCAACCCCUUUUUCACAUGAACUCAAAGAGGCAAAUUUCCCUAUAUCCCAUGGGUGAGAAUUUUUUUACAACCUGAUUUUUGUGUGUGUGCAAGGCUCAGUGGGGAUGACGAUAAGCUUUUAUCUGUUAAUCAACAAACAUUAAGCAUCUACUUGUGCCAGGCAUUUUGCUAGGCUACAGGGAUAAAAAUACAAAAAAUGAAACAAUCUACUUUCAAGGAGCUUUCUAACGUGAGAAAAUAAGUACGCAUAUAAGUAUAUACAGAGAAUAAAUUUGAGAUAGUUUGGGAGGAUGAGAAUCAGGAAGGAAAAACUUUAAAAAGGUGACAUUUAGGAAGUGCAUUUCAGGCAUGCAAUAUAUACUGCCUCUACACCUACUAUUAAAGUCAGCACAAAGAUAUACUAAAGUCACAACACAUGAUAGGCUCAAUAUUCCAACCUACAGUUAUCAAAAAAAGGAAGACACUUCCUCAUGACUCAGAACAGAGGACAAUGAGAGCAUGAGAAUUGUCUUUUAGUAUUUUAAAGACUGUGUGAUAUGAAAGAAGAGUUAGACUUAUUUUCUUUGGCCUCAGAAGACAAAACUAGUAUCUGUUAAUUUUAAAGAAAAAGGAAAUGAGACUUUGCUCUUAGUGAACCUAUGCUGGUUACUACUUGUUUUCUAAAUACUCUAAAAAACACUUCUUUUUCAGGGACAAGAGUCAAGCUUAUUUGUUUAUAGAUCCCUAAAUCUUCCUUUUCAUUUUUGUUUUUUAAUUGGAAAUAGUAUUUGACCAUUCCUAUCCUCCUGAGAUUUCUUCCAUCCUCCAUGUCUCUCCCUUCCUCCCUGCUCCCUCAUCUCCCUUUUCCCACCUCCAGCUGUCUCUUGUCUCCUUCCUCCUUCCCCCCACCCUACCAGCCCCCUCCCAUCUCUCUGUGCUGGCAAUUGUCCUCAUUUCCUCUUCGUCCAUUGCUGAUUCUAUGUAGCCCAGCUGACGUCUGUCUUUUUUGUUUUCUUUAAAGAUUUAUACCUUUUAUUUAUGAGUAGGAAAAUAGAGAGCCCCUAGUUAUUUUUGAUGAAUUCAGUUUUUUUCAAUCAAUAAUUAUUCAUUAAAUGCCUACUGUAUUUAAUGUACUCUAAGUACUGUAUUCUAAGUACUGGGAAUACACAGAAAAAGCAAGACAGUCUCUUAUUUUCCAGUAGUUCACAGUCGAAUGAGGGAAGGAGAUAACAUGCAAACAGAAAUGUACAAAUAUCUAUAUAUAGGAGAAAUAGGAAAUAACUGACAGAGGGAAGGCACUAGAAUUAAGAGGACCACAUUAAUUCCAUCCUAAGGUAAGGAGGGAAUGGAGUGUAUGAUUGCUCAAGUUGCCAGAGCUCAUUAAAAUACCAUGAAGAUUAGAGAAGAAACCAAUCAUAUGCUUUUUACAUCUAUGACUAGGAGAUGUUAUCUUAACCAGAAAAGGACUAGAGACAAUUAUAAAAGUUAAAAUAGAUAAAUUACAUAUAAUUGAAAAGCUUUUGCAUAAAAUUAAUGCACUUAGGAUAAGAAGAGAAAUGGUCAAAUGAGAAACAAUAUUUGUAUCCAAUUUCUCUGUUAAGGAUUAGGUAGUCAACAUAGAACUAACAACAAAUAUUUAAGAACAAGUAUUUCCAGUAUAUAAAUGGUGAAAGGAUACAGUUUUCAAAAGAUUUACAAAAUAUUUGCAACUAUUUGAAAAAAAUGGCAAACUACAGUUAAAAGAAAUGUAAAUCAAAACAAUCUUAGGUUUCAUUGUUCACACCCAGUAAGUUGGCAAAGAUAACAAAAGACAAGAAUAAUAAAUGUUAGAAGGGUGUGAAAAGAUAAACUAUUCGAAUACAUUGUUGAUAAAGCCGUGAAUUAGUGCAAUCAUUUUGGAAAGCAGUUUGGUAUUAGAAAAAUAAAGUGGCUAAAAUGUCUGUAUUCUUAGCUCAGAGAUUUCACUACUAAGUAUAUACCCCCAAACAAGUCAUUGAUAAAAAGAGGCUUCAUAUGCACCAAAAUAUUUAUUGUAGCACUUUUUGUUUUAGCAAAGAACUAGAAACAAAGUAUAUGCCUUUCUGUGGGAGAAUGGUUAAAUUGUGGUAUAUGAAUGUAAUAGACUGUUAUUGUGCUGUAAGAAAUAAUAUAAUUAUUACAGUGCAACAUGGAAAGAUUUAUAUGAACUGAUACAGAGUGAAGAAAACAGACCCCAAAAAACAAUAUCGUAACGAGUACAACAAUGGAAAUGGAAAGGACAACCACCAUAAAAGAACCAAAAAUGAAUGUUGCAAAAUUACAAAGAAAACAUGUUUAGUCCCAGAGAAGAACUAUAAGAAGACACCUUACCCCCACUCUUUUGCAGAGGUGGGGAAGUAGGGGGUCCAUGGGUGUAAAACAUUGUGUAUGUUUUAAGAUUUUUUCAAUGUAUCGAUCAGUUUUGCUGACUUUUUUUUUCCCUUCUUAAAAAUAAAUCUUUGUUAUAUGAAUGGUUCUCUGGGGAAAGAAGAAAUACAGGGGGGAAUUUAGAUGAUGUUUCGAAAAAGAUAUCAAUAAAAUUUAUUUCAAAAAUAAUCUCUACUUUCCUCCUUUCUCUCCCUGGCCGAAAACAAAAACCACAAAAGAAAAUGUGCCAUAGGACUAAGAGGGACAAGUUCUGAUUUUCAUAGAAAAAUAAGUCAAAUAGAGACUAGUGAACUUCAGUUCUUCGCAGAAAUUCUCUCUUGUACUCAGCCUUUAUCAAGCCACAUCUGGAAUACAGGGAUCAUUUCUGGGUACCAUAUUUUAGGAAGGAUAUUGGUAAACUGCAAAGUUUUCAGGAGAGGGCAAGGAGAAAGAAAAUUAGAAUGGACUGUAUAAAAAUGGUUAAUA
ensembl:lncRNA